CUCGAGUCAUCCUAAUGCACCAGCUGGACCAAUUUCUUCCUCUCCAACUCAGAGAGAAGAGGGUGAAUCUGUAUCUACAAUCUCGGUACCCACUCCAUUAUCCCCUCCCAUGAAUGUCCGGGAAGAAUCUUUACGGUCAAUUACACCACAAUCAUCUGAUGUCCAAGCUGAUCCAGCAUUUGCUUCAGCUUCUGGAUCUAGUGUUCUUGCUUCCAAUCAACAUGAAAAUUCAUUGCACAAUAGGAGGUCUCCUAAUCAGUCUUCC
rnacentral:misc_RNA from 1 species